rnacentral:rRNA from 1 species
UACGUAGGGGGCUAGCGUUGUCCGGAAUCAUUGGGCGUAAAGAGCGUGUAGGCGGUCCGGUAAGUCCGCUGUGAAAGUCGGGGGCUCAACCCUCGAAUGCCGGUGGAUACUGUCGGGCUAGAGUACGGAAGAGGCGAGUGGAAUUCCUGGUGUAGCGGUGAAAUGCGCAGAUAUCAGGAGGAACACCGAUUGCGAAGGCAGCUCGCUGGGACGUAACUGACGCUGAGACGCGAAAGCGUGGGGAGCAAACAGG